AUGACGCCCACAACCAACCCCUGGUGGUGCAUUGCAUGCUGGCGCUCACCCCACGACGCGGCUUCCGCGGGCUUUGAUGAGCAUGGUGGUACGGGGGUUCGAGACAACGCAGGCACGACUACGCGCGCACGCGCGCACGCGCGCACGCGCGCACGCGCGCACGCGCGCACGCGCAGCGCCCAGACCCAAGUUUUGACAAGUAUGCUAUUCUUUAAGUAUCAUUUGUCGCAGUGUUGUGCAGUUGCUUGAAGACUUCGUGACAGGCGCUGAGGCUGUGU
rnacentral:lncRNA from 1 species